GCCGUUGCGGAGCUACCAUGCAAGUCGAGCGGAUGAGGGAGCUUGCUCCUGGAUUCAGCGGCGGACGGGUGAGUAAUGCCUAGGAAUCUGCCUGGUAGUGGGGGACAACGUUUCGAAAGGAACGCUAAUACCGCAUACGUCCUACGGGAGAAAGCAGGGGACCUUCGGGCCUUGCGCUAUCAGAUGAGCCUAGGUCGGAUUAGCUAGUUGGUGAGGUAAUGGCUCACCAAGGCGACGAUCCGUAACUGGUCUGAGAGGAUGAUCAGUCACACUGGAACUGAGACACGGUCCAGACUCCUACGGGAGGCAGCAGUGGGGAAUAUUGGACAAUGGGCGAAAGCCUGAUCCAGCCAUGCCGCGUGUGUGAAGAAGGUCUUCGGAUUGUAAAGCACUUUAAGUUGGGAGGAAGGGCAGUAAAUUAAUACUUUGCUGUUUUGACGUUACCGACAGAAUAAGCACCGGCUAACUCUGUGCCAGCAGCCGCGGUAAUACAGAGGGUGCAAGCGUUAAUCGGAAUUACUGGGCGUAAAGCGCGCGUAGGUGGUUCGUUAAGUUGGAUGUGAAAUCCCCGGGCUCAACCUGGGAACUGCAUUCAAAACUGUCGAGCUAGAGUAUGGUAGAGGGUGGUGGAAUUUCCUGUGUAGCGGUGAAAUGCGUAGAUAUAGGAAGGAACACCAGUGGCGAAGGCGACCACCUGGACUGAUACUGACACUGAGGUGCGAAAGCGUGGGGAGCAAACAGGAUUAGAUACCCUGGUAGUCCACGCCGUAAACGAUGUCAACUAGCCGUUGGGAGCCUUGAGCUCUUAGUGGCGCAGCUAACGCAUUAAGUUGACCGCCUGGGGAGUACGGCCGCAAGGUUAAAACUCAAAUGAAUUGACGGGGGCCCGCACAAGCGGUGGGAGCAUGUGGUUUAUUUCGAAGCAACGCGAAGAAACUUACCAGGCCUUGACAUCCAAUGAACUUUCCAGAGAUGGAUUGGUGCCUUCGGGAACAUUGAGACAGGUGCUGCAUGGGCUGUCGUCAGCUCGUGUCGUGAGAUGUUGGGUUAAGUCCCGUACGAGCGCAACCCCUGUUCUUAGUUACCAACACGUAAUGGGUGGGCACUCUUAAGAGACUGGCGGUGGACAAACCGGAGGAAAGAGGGGGAAUGAACGUCAAGUCAUCAUGGCCUUUACGGCCGGGCUUCCAACGGUCUACAAUGGUCGGUAAAAAG
rnacentral:rRNA from 1 species